GGGGCGAGCGCCUCCCUGAGCUGGGCUUCCCUGAUUCCUUGCUGAUGACAGAGCCAUUCUCACUGGGCGACCUGCUGGAAGUAACCAUAGCAACAGGGAGAUGGGAAAGGUAUGAAUGAACACAUUUCUGGGGAGAAACUCCAACUCUGCUUCACUCUUUCAUCCACUUAUGAACUUAUGUUUACAUGGAGCCAUCAACCCAAACUUCUGGUCAAAAACAUAAGACCCAUUCUGAGAGGUUAUGCAGGCCACAACCAGCAGGAAUGAGGAGACUGAUGUGGCAAGACGGAAACGCCAGAAAAAUAAAUGCAACGUGGGUUUGGUUUUGGUUUCAGCAUCUUAAUAUCUUCCCAAAUGAAUUGGACUCCCGUGGUCAGCUGAACUGGAACAGAGGACAGUAGUGAACUUGACACAAGCAAAGAUUUGAGAAGUGUUGCCCCUGGGGGCUUGUUUUCUUGUGGUACAUGGAACACCCUGUGAGACAACCUGCGAGAAAUCCAGAGCUGGCCUGCUGGAGGAUGAGAGACCAUGUAGCCCCAGUUACCUGACCACCCCAGACAAGGUUAUCACCAACAAGCCAGCCUGGCCAACCUACCACCUGACUACAGACACAUGAGUGAGCCCAGCUGAGAUUAGCCAAGCCCAUCUUAGCCCAGAACCACCACCCUGAGCUGAGCCCAAACUUCUGACCCACCAAAAAUCAGGAGCUAAAUAAAAGGCUGCUAUUUUAAGCUGCUAA